AGGCAAAAGGCUUGUCAGUAUUUGCUGUGACUAUGCAAAAUCUGUUUCAUGUGAGAUGACUGUAUCAAAGUCGACAGGGUCUUGAAAAAUGACCUGGACACAAAGACGUGCUCGAAUCCCUCCCAUUCUAGACAAGAUGUGUUAAUGGUAUCAAGAAUGAUUUAACCUCGUCUCACCUACUCCAGUGAUUGGGCACGGUGUGCUACUUUUCGGGCAGAAAAUGGCGAAGAUUUGUGCGGCCGAGGGGCCUCCGG
rnacentral:lncRNA from 1 species